rnacentral:lncRNA from 1 species
UUCAUGAGAAGGGUAAUUAGGACCUAAAUGCUGUGAAUUCUCUGGUGAGUAUUGCUGAUGGUUGUAGGGCUCGGGAUAAGAACUUUCUGAUCUAGCAGGUGGAGGAUGGUAAUCUUGGGAAGGUGGAGCAGGAUGGUAAUCUUGGGAAGGUGGAGGAGGAUGAUAAUCUUGGGAAGGUGGAGGAUGAUGAUAGUCUUGGGAAGGUGGAGGAUGGUGAUAGUCUUGGGAAGGUGGAGGAGAAUGAUAAUCUUGGGAAGGUGGAGGAGGAUGAUAGUCUUGGGAAGGUGGAGGAGAAUGAUAAUCUUGGGAAGGAUAAACUCCAAGUGUGUAAGAGUGAGAUGAUGGAGAAACAACGGAAGAAUGCUUGUUAUUAUCUACUCUGUCAUGAAAAGGCAUAGAUGGUGGAAUAUCUGCAGAAUGUUGGUCGUUAACAG